rnacentral:rRNA from 1 species
UACGAAGGGGGGCUAGCGUUGCUCGGAAUCACUGGGCGUAAAGCGCACGUAGGCGGCUUUUUAAGUCAGGGGUGAAAUCCUGGAGCUCAACUCCAGAACUGCCUUUGAUACUGGGAGCUCGAGUCCGGGAGAGGUGAGUGGAACUCCGAGUGUAGAGGUGAAAUUCGUAGAUAUUCGGAAGAACACCAGUGGCGAAGGCGGCUCACUGGCCCGGUACUGACGCUGAGGUGCGAAAGCGUGGGGAGCAAACAGGGAGUUAAGAUAC